rnacentral:rRNA from 1 species
AUGCGGAUGAGACUGUUUUGGGACUGUCUGUUUGCUUAUGUUUGUUGGGCAUCCCUUGGCCUACACAAGUUUAGGGGUAUCUCAGUCUUGGAUGAGAUUCUCUUGAACACUAAUGCUCUUCCCAGGAAUUUUGGUCUAAUAAUAAUCAUUAUGGGAUGCUGGCAUAUUUGGAUGCAAAGGAGUGGAAGGAUUUUUCAGCAGAUCCAACCCCCAGUGGAGUCUUGGAGACUUCUACUGAAAAAAGACCUCAAUCUGCUCACUCACAAGAUCAAGGCUAGAACAAGCAGCAUCCUUAUAAGUGGGCAUGAGUUUAAGACAGUCUCGCCACCGAAAGGAGCAGUAGGCCAAUGGUGUACCAGGUAA